rnacentral:rRNA from 1 species
UACGGAGGGUGCAAGCGUUAUCCGGAUUUACUGGGUUUAAAGGGUUCGUAGGCGGGCAGGUGAGUCGGUGGUGAAAUCUCCAAGCUUAACUUGGAAACUGCCGUUGAUACUAUCUGUCUUGAAUAUUGUGGAGGUGAGCGGAAUAUGUCAUGUAGCGGUGAAAUGCUUAGAUAUGACAUAGAACACCAAUUGCGAAGGCAGCUCACUACUCAAUCAUUGACUCUGAGGCACGAAAGCGUGGGGAGCAAACAGG